GAUGAACGCUGGCGGCGUGCCUAAUACAUGCAAGUCGAGCGAACGGACGAGAAGCUUGCUUCUCUGAUGUUAGCGGCGGACGGGUGAGUAACACGUGGAUAACCUACCUAUAAGACUGGGAUAACUUCGGGAAACCGGAGCUAAUACCGGAUGAUAUUUUGAACAGCAUGGUUCAAAAGUGAAAGACGGUCUUGCUGUCACUUAUAGAUGGAUCCGCGCUGCAUUAGCUAGUUGGUAAGGUAACGGCUUACCAAGGCAACGAUGCAUAGCCGACCUGAGAGGGUGAUCGGCCACACUGGAACUGAGACGCGGUCCAGACUCCUACGGGAGGCAGCAGUAGGGAAUCUUCCGCGAUGGGCGAAAGCCUGACGGAGCAACGCCGCGUGAGUGAUGAAGGUCUUCGGAUCGUAAAACUCUGUUAUUAGGGAAGAACAUAUGUGUAAGUAACUGUGCACAUCUUGACGGUACCUAAUCAGAAAGCCACGGCUAACUACGUG
rnacentral:rRNA from 1 species